rnacentral:rRNA from 1 species
AUGAACGCUGGCGGCGUGCCUAAUCCCUGCAAGUCGCGCGAACAGACGAGGAGCUUGCUCCUCUGGCGUUAGCGGCGGACGGGUGAGUAACACGUGGAUAACCUACCUAUAAGACUGGGAUAACUUCGGGAAACCGGAGCUAAUACCGGAUAAUAUAUUGAACCGCAUGGUUCAAUAGUGAAAGACGGUUUUGCUGUCACUUAUAGAUGGAUCCGCGCCGCAUUAGCUAGUUGGUAAGGUAACGGCUUACCAAGGCAACGAUGCGUAGCCGACCUGAGAGGGUGAUCGGCCACACUGGAACUGAGACACGGUCCAGACUCCUACGGGAGGCAGCAGUAGGGAAUCUUCCGCAAUGGGCGAAAGCUUGACGGAGCAACGCCGCGUGAGUGAUGAAGGUCUUCGGAUCGUAAAACUCUGUUAUUAGGGAAGAACAAAUGUGUAAGUAACUAUGCACGUCUUGACGGUACCUAAUCAGAAAGCCACGGCUAACUACGUG